rfam:Ipomoea nil DNA, scaffold: scaffold3227, cultivar: Tokyo-kokei standard.
GGAGAUGUAGCUUAGAUGGUAGAGCGCUUGCUUAGCAUGCGAGAGGUAUGGGGAUCAAUACCCAACAUCUCCA